rnacentral:RNase_P_RNA from 1 species
GCAGCAGAUCGCCUUAUCGCUCAAUAGAGAUUAUUGGGAGGAAAGUCCGGGCAGAGCAGAGCGGUGCACUGUGGAAAGCACAGACAGGUGAAAGCUUGUGCAAGGGGUAACAGAAAAUAACCGCCGGCAACGGUAAGGGUGAAAAUGUGAGGUAAGAGCUCACGGUUUAGUACAGCGAUAUACUAUUCGUACUCCACUGCAUUCUGCAAGGCCAUGUAUACCUGCAGUUAAGGGUUGCUCGCUCUUUGCAGGGGGGUAGGCUGCGACAGAUAAAUGAUAAGGGACCUGUUGUUUACAGGUUACAGAACUCGGCUUAUAGAUCUGCGCAAAA